GUGCGUGUGCGUGUGUGUGUUUAGAAAGUGCAAGAGUACAAAAAAAGAGAGAGAGAAGCAAAGGGGUAUAAUGUUGACUAUGGAUGAAUCCGUGUGGAGAAUAUACAGGGUUUUAUUUCUGCUAUUCUUAUCCUUGCCACUUCUCUGUAAGUUUGAAAUUGUUUCAAAAUAAAGAGUUAAAAACAUUGCCAGGGAUGAGUAGGCAGCUGUCACUCUUAAAAAAAGGAAUAAGAUACUCUCUCUGGGCUCCUACCCACAGGACAAUGCUGCAGAUGCUGCAGGACCCCAGGACAAUCUGCUAAUAUUUCAAAGAAGAGUGAGACAGGGAUAAAUGAUCUAAGGUUUUGCUGUGGUCAUAAACCAAUUCUAACCUUCAGGGUGGUAUCCACGUAUGGGUCUUCCUCACGAGCUGCCGCCGCACUGCACCGCACUGUGAAACACUGCAAGUUGUUGCUAAGGAAGAGGAGAGACACCACUGAGCAAAGCAGAGGCCAAUAACCAACAUGCCCGUACUUUGGAAGAUAUCACAGAGGCGAACAGAGCAACAGUGAGGGUGAGGGAAGGCUCAAGUUUAAAGGACAUCACUAUGCACAACACGUUGGAAAUGGAGACUAGCUACCUCCAGGAUGUUCACUUAGGAAGCACACAACAGCAUUUCUCCUUACACCAGACAACAACGGGAGGAGAAGGCAGCAACCACAAUACGGCCAUCCUAAUGGGUGUGAAGUGGUAUCUCAUUAUGGGUUUGAUUUGCACUUCCCUGGUGAAAAUAAUGUGUCUCGGCUGAGUGGAACCCAGCCACCCAACCACGGGCCUUUCUCCUGAGCAUGCGAGAUAAGGAGCAGUCAGAUGCAAUCCCUCCCCACCCCCCACUAGAAGCAGGCGCUCACCUGCGGUUGCCAGGACUACCACCGCGGCGCAGCUCAGAGCACCUUCAGCAAUCAGCCGCCGGACCCCCAACACCAUCCGGCAAGUUCCGGGAAGCACGAAGUCCUCUCCCCACCCAGAAUGCCGCCGAGGACGCUCGGUCCUCUAGGAAGGAGGCCCCAAACUGGGGUCCAGGCACCCCUUGGCCUCGCCAUUACUCACCGG